UUGAUACAGGAAAUACUGUACACGGCAUUGAAGAAUUAGCUUAUCUCUGAAAUUUUUAUAUACACUAAAAUAAAGGAUGAAUAACACUAACAAGUACUAAACAGACCCAUAGAAAUUAUACCGAACAAUGAAGCACAAUUUGUUAGCAUUAGACUUGCCAAAAUCAUGUUGACUGACAAACUCAUCCAGCAAGAAAAAUGCAAACCAGUCUGAUUCUCAGAAAUGGAAUGCUUGGAUAAUUAUAAGGUAUUGGUAUCCAUGCCAACUCCAGAAGCCCUAACACUUAAAAGGUCUUGACUGUGAAGAAUGAUAAAGUUAGAUUGCUUAGCAAUAGAUAUCAUUAUUUGGUAUUUAGGUACUAAAUAUUUUUAAACAAAGGAAAAGGAUCCAAAUAGAAAAGUGAUCAGACAAUCACCAAAUUUUUGCUCUAUGAUAUAAUAUUACUUACAAGCAGCUCUCACACCCCAGCCUGAUUGAAAUUACGGCCAAUAACCAAAGCAAAACUGAUAUAGGCAUUGAUAUACAGAUUUUAGACUACUCUACUUUCACUGUAGGUGGACAAAAAAUGUUAUUUUAUUUAGAUUCAUGUUUGCUUGCAAAAGAAAGCUUUAUUAUUGUGAGAAGAUAAAUCAGGGUUUAAACUCGGAAUAAAAAUGAUGCAAGAUGUAUUUGAUUAGAGCCUAAAAUUGGGACUACCUGGGGCUCACUUGAUGAUCUCUUACUUCACACCUUAAGGUAAUGCAUUCCUGAGUCUCCAAUAAAAGAUUCUAAACAAGUAUAGUUAAAGAUUUACCUCUUAAGAGCCAUGCACUGUAAUUCAAGUGUCUCUGACUCAUCUCUUCCUAUACUUAGUUUCUUCAUCCACAUCUAAACAAUUAUAUACUUAUAUAUAUAUAUUUAUAUAUUUGGUAAAACACUAGGCAACCUCAGAGAGUUUGAGCUAGUUUCAGGAAAAGAAAUCUCAAUUAACAUAAUACCUAGUAUCUGUCUGAGUCCUUUGAGAUUCCUACUGAAUAGAUUGCAGAUACUUCUCUAUUGUUACUGAAACUCAAGGCAUAUUUAAAGCUGUUAGACCUUUCAAAACUCUGGUCAUCUCUCAGAUCAGAUCAAUUAAUCAUGCACACAAAUUUUAGAAUAAUGGAAAUUAAUGCUAUAAAAAUAGUUAUUGGAAUACAUAAGAAAAGAGUGAGUGAUGCAGCUUAAAAGAAAAAAAAAAUACCAUGGAA
rnacentral:misc_RNA from 1 species